rnacentral:rRNA from 1 species
GGGGGGGGGGGGGGGGGGGCCUGAGGGGGGCGGGGCGGGGGGGCAGGUGGGGAGCGUGCGCCGCGGGCGUUAGCGGCGGGGGGGGGCGGAACGCGUGGAUCACCUACCUAGAGGACUGGGAUAACUUCGGGAAACCGGAGCUAAUACCGGAUAAUAUAGUGAACCGCCUGGUUCAAUAGUGACCGACGGUUUUGCUGUCACUUAUAGAUGACUCCACGCCGCAUUAGCUAGUUGGUAAGGUAACGGCUCACCAAGGCAACGAUGCGUAGCCGACCUGAGAGGGUGACCGGCCACACUGGAACUGAGACACGGUCCAGACUCCUACGGGAGGCAGCAGUAGGGAAUCUUCCGCAAUGGGCGAAAGCCUGACGGAGCAACGCCGCGUGAGUGAUGAAGGUCUUCGGAUCGUAAAACUCUGUUAUUAGGGAAGAACAAAUGUGUAAGUAACUAUGCACGUCUUGACGGUACCUAAUCAGAAAGCCACGGCUAACUACGUG